rnacentral:rRNA from 1 species
CACGGCGAGUGAAGCGGCAACAGCUCAGAUUUGAAAUCUGGCCCUUCUGGGUCCGAGUUGUAAUCUGUAGAGGAUGCUUUUGGCAAGACGCCUUCUGAGUCCCCUGGAACGGGGCGCCAUAGAGGGUGAGAGCCCCGUACGGUUGGACGUCGCGCCUCUGUAAAGCACCUUCGACGAGUCGAGUAGUUUGGGAAUGCUGCUCAAAGCGGGAGGUAAAUUUCUUCUAAAGCUAAAUACCGGCCAGAGACCGAUAGCGCACAAGUAGAGUGAUCGAAAGAUGAAAAGCACUUUGAAAAGAGGGUUAAAAAGCACGUGAAAUUGUUGAAAGGGAAGCGUUUGUGACCAGACUUGGUCCCGGCGGAUCAUCCGGCGUUCUCGCCGGUGCACUCCUCCGGGUGUCAGGCCAGCAUCGGUUUCCUCGGGGGCAUAAAGGCUUUGGGAACGUAGCUCCUCCGGGAGUGUUAUAGCCCAUUGCACAAUACCCCCAGGGGGACCGAGGCCCGCGCAUUGCAAGGAUGCUGGCGUAAUGGUCACCAGCGACCCGUCUUGAAACACGGACCAAGGAGUCAAGCAUUAGGGCGAGUGUUUGGGUGCAAAACCCGCACGCGAAAUGAAAGUGAACGCUGGUGAGAGCUUCGGCGCAUCAUCGACCGAUCCUGAUGUAUUCGGAUGGAUUUGAGUAAGAGCCUUACCGCUUGGACCCGAAAGAUGGUGAACUAUGCUUGUAUAGGGUGAAGCCAGAGGAAACUCUGGUGGAGGCUCGCAGCGGUUCUGACGUGCAAAUCGAUCGUCAAAUAUGAGCAUGGGGGCGAAAGACUAAUCGAACCUUGG